rnacentral:lncRNA from 1 species
UGAAGACUUUAUUGGUUAUACGUUUGCUGUACAUGUUGUAAAAAAGCAGAAGAUGCCAUUCAACAAAUAUGAUUAUUCCAAUGUAGAUAACGAUGAUAACGUCAUAGCUUUGAAAACAAGUCAUGCAUUAAAAAAACUAGCGUGGUAUCGAAAAGAUGAAUAUAAUACACAAUGUUUAUUUCUAUAGAAUAUCACCCAUUACUUUCAGCUAUCACAGUCAUGAAGAUUUGAAUUUAGCACUUAAGAAUCAAGUACGUUUGGAGUUUUGUGUCAUUUUUGCUUCUUUUUUCCAUGUACGCGUUCAAUGCUUAUUACAGACUUCCAUCAGUAGUUUACUCGUUCAGCUUUUCAUGAAAAUACCAAGCCCUUUAACGCAUUUCGAAUAAAGAAUAAAGGUAAAGAUAGAGUAAACACCAACAUUCACAAGCACUUCAAAUUGAGUAAACCAUAGUAAACGUCUCUUUUUUGCAUGCUGAUCAGGCUUUGAGAAUCCGUCUAUGUGUGACAAUCAAGUAAAAGACAAUAUCAGUAAAAUUACAGAUCAGACUUAUGUAUUGAUAUUUGAAGAAGGAAACAAAAGUCCGCUAAUCUGCCGAGACAUUGCCACAUCAUAUCUUUCAACCAAAUAUUGAUCGAAGUGGAACACUCAUGCUCUUCACUUACAUACUGUAUUUGGCCUUUUAACUCUCUUGAUUUGGGCGUCAAUAACGCGUCUCUCGUAAAUUAAAACUGCACAUAAUGAUAAUUUGAGAUAUUUUUUGUCGUCGUUGACCGCAGCAUAAUCCUCCUCAUAUUUUGUUGAUUUUAUAUCUCCUUGGUAACAGUCUGAAAAACGUCAUUUAACUUUCCAAGUUUUUUGAUAUUUUAUCUCCGUCAUUAGGCAGUUGUCUGCUACUAAAUUGUGCUCAUUUACAAACAACAUAAUUUGAACAGUACUCAGAUGGUAGCAUGAAAUCCAGCAUAAGAAUAAUUUGUUGUGUUGACAUUUUUUAUGACUCCUGCUAUGCAUUCAUUAUCUGCUAAUAUGCAAUGUACAUACAAGUUCUCCAUUUGAGAUCUCCGAUGUUUUCAAAACAAAAACACACUUCCACAAGUCUGACGUUAUCUGACAGAUGACACACGUUUUCUGUUCAAGGUUGAUUCGUAAAAUGAACGACUUAUUUGUAUAAUAUUUUUGAAUUCAUAUCAGAUAAUCAAACGAGAAAUUGCUUAUCGUCAUAAAUGUACUCAUUUGUGUUGUUUGACUAGCAAGUGUUCUAAUUAUU